rnacentral:lncRNA from 1 species
UAAAAUAUUUUUUCCACCACGAGAUGGAGUCGACUUCAUAUCACAAAUGUCAGUAUGGAUUAAGUCUAAGGGAUUGGAAUUCCUUUCAACGGACUUAUACAAAUGCUAAGCUUACUUUGAUUCCACACACGUUUGACUGUACUCAAAGUUUGGCAAAACUUCUAAGUUAAUCAGUUUUCACAAUGUUAAUGCCUAAUCAUUCAUAC